rnacentral:tRNA from 1 species
GGGGAUGUAAGCUUAAUAGUGGAGUGGCUGCCUUAUAUGCAUAAGGACCUAGGUUCAAUUCCUAGCACCUCAA